AUGAACGCUAGCUACAGGCUUAACACAUGCAAGUCGAGGGGCAGCAUUUUAGUUUGCUUGCAAACUAAAGAUGGCGACCGGCGCACGGGUGAGUAACACGUAUCCAACCUGCCGAUAACUCGGGGAUAGCCUUUCGAAAGAAAGAUUAAUAUCCGAUAGUAUAUUAAAACCGCAUGGUUUUACUAUUAAAGAAUUUCGGUUAUCGAUGGGGAUGCGUUCCAUUAGUUUGUUGGCGGGGUAACGGCCCACCAAGACUACGAUGGAUAGGGGUUCUGAGAGGAAGGUCCCCCACAUUGGAACUGAGACACGGUCCAAACUCCUACGGGAGGCAGCAGUGAGGAAUAUUGGUCAAUGGAGGAGAGUCUGAACCAGCCAAGUAGCGUGAAGGAUGACUGCCCUAUGGGUUGUAAACUUCUUUUAUAUGGGAAUAAAGUAUUCCACGUGUGGAAUUUUGUAUGUACCAUAUGAAUAAGGAUCGGCUAACUCCGUGCCAGCAGCCGCGGUAAUACGGAGGAUCCGAGCGUUAUCCGGAUUUAUUGGGUUUAAAGGGAGCGUAGGUGGAUUGUUAAGUCAGUUGUGAAAGUUUGCGGCUCAACCGUAAAAUUGCAGUUGAAACUGGCAGUCUUGAGUACAGUAGAGGUGGGCGGAAUUCGUGGUGUAGCGGUGAAAUGCUUAGAUAUCACGAAGAACUCCGAUUGCGAAGGCAGCUCACUAGACUGCAACUGACACUGAUGCUCGAAAGUGUGGGUAUCAAACAGGAUUAGAUACCCUGGUAGUCCACACAGUAAACGAUGAAUACUCGCUGUUUGCGAUAUACAGUAAGCGGCCAAGCGAAAGCAUUAAGUAUUCCACCUGGGGAGUACGCCGGCAACGGUGAAACUCAAAGGAAUUGACGGGGGCCCGCACAAGCGGUGGAGCAUGUGGUUUAAUUCGAAGCAACGCGAAGAACCUUACCAGGUCUUGACAUCCUUCUGACCGGCCUAGAGAUAGGCUUUCUCUUCGGAGCAGAAGUGACAGGUGGUGCAUGGUUGUCGUCAGCUCGUGCCGUGAGGUGUCGGCUUAAGUGCCAUAACGAGCGCAACCCUUAUCUUUAGUUACUAACAGGUCAUGCUGAGGACUCUAGAGAGACUGCCGUCGUAAGAUGUGAGGAAGGUGGGGAUGACGUCAAAUCAGCACGGCCCUUACGUCCGGGGCUACACACGUGUUACAAUGGGGGGUACAGAAGGCAGCUACCUGGUGACAGGAUGCUAAUCCCAAAAACCUCUCUCAGUUCGGAUCGAAGUCUGCAACCCGACUUCGUGAAGCUGGAUUCGCUAGUAAUCGCGCAUCAGCCAUGGCGCGGUGAAUACGUUCCCGGGCCUUGUACACACCGCCCGUCAAGCCAUGAAAGCCGGGGGUACCUGAAGUACGUAACCGCAAGGAGCGUCCUAGGGUAAAACUGGUAAUUGGGGCU
rnacentral:rRNA from 1 species